CCUACGGGAGGCAGCAGUGGGGAAUAUUGCACAAUGGACGAAAGUCUGAUGCAGCAACGCCGCGUGGAGGAUGACACAUUUCGGUGCGUAAACUCCUUUUAUAUGAGAAGAUAAUGACGGUAUCAUAUGAAUAAGCACCGGCUAACUCCGUGCCAGCAGCCGCGGUA
rnacentral:rRNA from 1 species